GGGAAGCCUUGAGAUGGUCUGGCUCCAGGGUUUAAUGCCUCCCUCCUCCUCCCCUCUCGGGGCCAUCUCCAGAGAGCUGCAGUCCAUGGCCGACCAGGAAAAGGUCUCCCCAGCCGCCCUCAAGAAGACCCUGCUGGACAGAGUGAAGCUGGAGUCCCCGACAGUGUCCACACUGACCCCCUUCAGCUCCGGGAAGGUCCUCACCAGAAGCCCGGCCCCGGGAGGCAAGAAGGACUAAGACCGAGCAGCCCUCGGUGGCAGGGGCGGUAGAUGCUGGAAGCCAGGUGAACCCCGCACAUUCCCACUUGGUCCCCCAACGGGAGCCAGCGCAGCGUCAGUGUGCUGCCACGUCAAGGAGGUGAGGGGCGCAACACACAAGGGCAUCCUCUUUGCAUGAGCGCGAGCAGCCUGGAACUGUCCGCAGCAGGAACGCACAGGGUGACCGUGCCAUGCUGAGGAAGUAUGAUUCGGUCCUGCCAAGUGUAGCCGCUUUAAUAAAGCUUUAUUUUUUAUUA